rnacentral:rRNA from 1 species
GAUGAACGCUGGCGGCGUGCCUAAUACAUGCAAGUCGAGCGAACAGACGAGGAGCUUGCUCCUUUGACGUUAGCGGCGGACGGGUGAGUAACACGUGGCUAACCUACCUAUAAGACUGGGAUAACUUCGGGAAACCGGAGCUAAAACCGGAUAAAAUGUUGAACCGCAUGGUUCAACAAUGAAAGACGGUCUUGCUGACACUUAUAGAUGGAUCCGCGCCGCAUUAGCUAGUUGGUAAGGUAACGGCUUACCAAGGCAACGAUGCGUAGCCGACCUGAGAGGGUGAUCGGCCACACUGGAACUGAGACACGGCCCAGACUCCUACGGGAGGCAGCAGUAGGGAAUCUUCCGCAAUGGGCGAAAGCCUGACGGAGCAACGCCGCGUGAGUGAAGAAGGUCUUCGGAUCGUAAAACUCUGUUAUUAGGGAAGAACAAAUGUGUAAGUAACUAUGCACGUCUUGACGGUACCUAAUCAGAAAGCCACGGCUAACUACGUG